CGGCCAUAUCACGUUAAAAUACCGGCUCUCCUCGGAUCACUGAAGUUAAGCAACGUCGAGCCUGGUCAGUACCUAGAUGGGUAACCGCUUGGGUAUACUA